ACACGGCUGGAAAAGUGAAACUGCGAAUGGCUCAUUAAAUCAGUUAUGGUUCCUUUGAUCGCUCACCCGCUACUUGGAUAACUGUGGCAAUUCUAGAGCUAAUACAUGCAAACGAGCGCUGACCUUCGGGGAUGCGUGCAUUUAUCAGACCUAAAACCCGCGCGGGGUGCUGCCGCGUGGUGGCCCCCGGCCUGUUUGGUGACUCUAGAUAACCUUGGGCCGAUCGCUCGCCCUCGCGGCGGCGACGACUCAUUCGAAUGUCUGCCCUAUCAACUUUCGAUGGUACUCUAUGUGCCUACCAUGGUGACCACGGGUAACGGGGAAUCAGGGUUCGAUUCCGGAGAGGGAGCCUGAGAAAUGGCUACCACAUCCAAGGAAGGCAGCAGGCGCGCAAAUUACCCAUUCACGACACGUGGAGGUAGUGACGAAAAAUAACAAUACAGGACUCUUUCGAGGCCCUGUAAUUGGAAUGAGUGUACUUUAAAUCCUUUGGCGAGUACCAAUUGGAGGGCAAGUCUGGUGCCAGCA
rnacentral:rRNA from 2 species